AGACGGAGGGUGCAAGCGUUAAUCGGAAUUACUGGGCGUAAAGCGCUCGUAGGCGGUUUGAUAAGUCGGAUGUGAAAUCCCCGGGCUCAACCUGGGAAUGGCAUUCGAUACUGCCUGACUAGAGUAUGGUAGAGGGAAGUGGAAUUUCCGGUGUAGCGGUGAAAUGCGUAGAUAUCGGAAGGAACACCAGUGGCGAAGGCGACUUCCUGGGCCAAUACUGACGCUGAGGUGCGAAAGCGUGGGGAGCAAACAGGAUUAGAUACCCCGGUAGUCC
rnacentral:rRNA from 1 species